rnacentral:rRNA from 1 species
AGGACGAACGCUGGCGGCGUGCUUAACACAUGCAAGUCGAGCGGAAAGGCCCUUCGGGGUACUCGAGCGGCGAACGGGUGAGUAACACGUGAGCAACCUGCCCUUAGCUCCGGGAUAGCUCCGGGAAACCGGAAUUAAUACCGGAUACGACCACGGCCGACAUCUGCUGUGGUGGAAAGGAUUCCGGCUAAGGAUGGGCUCGCGGCCUAUCAGCUAGUUGGUGGAGUAACGGCCCACCAAGGCGACGACGGGUAGCCGGCCUGAGAGGGCGACCGGCCACACUGGGACUGAGACACGGCCCAGACUCCUACGGGAGGCAGCAGUGGGAAUAUUGCGCAAUGGGCGAAAGCCUGACGCAGCGACGCCGCGUGGGGAUGAAGGCCUUCGGGUUGUAAACCCUUUCAGCAGGGACGAAGCGAAAGUGACGGUACCUGCAGAAGAAGCGCCGGCUAACUACGUGCCAGCAGCCGC